rnacentral:ncRNA from 1 species
AACUGGUUCCGCCGCGAGGCGGAUGAAAAUGGGAACGCGGUGCGGCCUUUGUGGGCCAAUGCCGCGGCUGCCCCCGCAACUGUAACCGUUGAGCCAACUACCGGACAUGCCACUGGCCUCGAUCGGCCGGGAAGGUGGAAGGAGGCGAUGACACGGGAGCCAGGAGACCUGCCGUUCCA